UGUCCGGAAUCCUGAAGAGAUUUGGGAGUGCUCGCAAGAGAACCGGAACACAGGUGCUGCAUGGCUGUCGUCAGCUCGUGUCGUGAGAUGUUGGGUUAAGUCCCGCAACGAGCGCAACCCUUGUCAUUAGUUGCCACCAUUCAGUUGGGCACUCUAAUGAGACUGCCGGUGACAAACCGGAGGAAGGUGGGGAUGACGUCAAGUCUCAUGGCCUUAUGGGUAGGGCUUCACACGUCAUACAAUGGUCGGUACAGAGGGUCGCCAACCCGCGAGGGGGAGCCAAUCCCACAAAGCCGAUCGUAGUCCGGAUUGGAGUCUGCAACUCGACUCCAUGAAGUCGGAAUCGCUAGUAAUCGUGGAUCAGCAUGUCACGGUGAAUACGUUCCCGGGUCUU
rnacentral:rRNA from 1 species